GGGAUUGUGGCUCAGUGGUAGAGCAUGCGCCUAGCAUGUGCGGGGCCCUGUGUUCUAUUCUCAGCACCA
rfam:Ictidomys tridecemlineatus contig107228, whole genome shotgun sequence.